rnacentral:rRNA from 1 species
UACGUAGGGUGCAAGCGUUGUCCGGAAUUAUUGGGCGUAAAGAGCUCGUAGGCGGUUUGUUGCGUCGGCUGUGAAAUCCCGAGGCUCAACCUCGGGUCUGCAGUCGAUACGAGCAAACUAGAGUGUUGCAGGGGAGACUGGAAUUCCUGGUGUAGCGGUAGAAAUGCGCAGAUAUCAGGAGGAACACCGGUGGCGAAGGCGGGUCUCUGGGCAACAACUACGCUGGAGGAGCGAAAGCGUGGGGAGCGAACAGG